GUGCUUGCUUCGGCAGCACGUGUACUAAAAUUGGAACGAUACAGAGAUUAGCACGGCCCCUGAGCAAGGAUGACAUGCAAAAAUUAGGUGAAAUUUAUAUAAAAUUU
ensembl:snRNA U6 U6 spliceosomal RNA